AUGUUGAAGGAUGAGAGAACUAAUCAAAAUGUAAAGAGGAUUCUCAGAAAAUAUGUUAAUCAGCACCAUGAUGAUUGGGACAUCCACCUGCAGGCCAUAGUUUAUGGAAUAAACACUGCAAAACAGAGAUCCACCAAGUACAGCCCGUACUUUUUAAUGUACAAUAGGCACCCCCGUCUACCACAGGCAUUAAAUGUCUGUGAGACAGACGGUACCUUUGAAUUGGCGGACCCAGAGGAGGAGCUGGAGCUAAAACUAGCUGGAGUCAAGGCCCUCAAUGAAACGGUUUGUUCAGAGUUGUGUGGAUGGAUGUGGAUUCUUUUUUUUUUUUCAUCCAGUUAAGCCUGAACAGCACUCUGAAAAUCUUCAAUCUGAUGACACUGUGUAACAGCCUUAACAAAUACAGAUCAAACUGAGUCAAAUGGACUGAUAUCCUGUUCAGGCAAAGCCUUUUUCUCUGGCUUUAGGUUUGAUUAAAAGCCUUGUUCUCUGGCUUCAGGUUUGAUUAAAAGCCUUGUUCUCUGGCUUUAGGUUUGAGUAAAAGCCUUGUUCUCUGGCUUCAGGUUUGAGUAAAAGCCUUAUUCUCUGGAUUCAGUUUUGCAUAAUUUUUUUCCAGACAACUUGCAGGAGCAGUGGCCAAUGGACCGUGGGUGGAGAAGACGGGCAAAGAUUUUGAUGUAACUUUGCUUACUAUGUAAUUUUGCCAUUUCAUUUUGCUCAGUGGACACUAUAUAUGGUUGUCAACAUCACAUCUGAGUAACUGUAUAUUACUUUUCAUCCAUUUCCAGUUCAGUCAGAUGGACAGAGCUGUGGGAUAUUCAUGCUUAUGGUAAACAUAUACAAUUGCUACUCAUUUUUUCCUGUUUGUCCUAAAUCUCCGUAAUCAUUAUUUUUCUCUUUAACAGUAUGCCCUCUGCAUCUGUACUGGUGCCAUGUUUCACUUUUUGGAUGUAAGUUGUAAUUCAUGGAAUGUAUGUAUCCAAGAAUGUUAAAAAACAAACAAUGCAAAACUCCAAUAUUACAUGUGUAUUGCAGACUGACAUACCAUCUAUUCGGAAGUGGUGGUGUCCCCAGAUUCUGGAGAAAUUCUCAAUCGCAAGGUAGGACACAUUUCAAUCAGUAAAACAUUGGUCUGCUUUACAAUUAUGCUACAUUAAAAGUACCAUACUUUUGAAUAGGCAUGGGCAGAACUUCGGGUAGCGCUUUGCCUUCUGGACAGAGGAGGCAGAACAGCUGAUGGCAGGCACCCUACCACCUAUUUAUAGGAUUUAUCGACCCCAAAUAGUC
ensembl:lncRNA